UGGCGGAGAUCAGCGAGUCGCUUCUGUCGGUGUCGCCGGCCUCGGCGCCCACAAGGACGGGUGUGAUUCCCCUUCGCGCCUCGGUGGGUCUGUUUCGGUGGCGUCUGUGGUGGCUGACGAAACAUGCUUUGACAGGGAGCGAGCGAGGACCAAUGACUACAACUCCCAGAAGGCCCCACUGAUGACGUUGUGGUGUUUCAGGCUUUCCCACCACAGAUGUAAGGCUCAAUGGUCUAUAAUUAUUGGGACUAUCCCUACUACCCUUUUUGAACAAGGGGACAACAUUCGCCUCCCUCCAAUACUCCGGUACAAUUUCCGUGGACAAUGAGGACAUAAUGAUCUUCGCCAGAGGCUCAGCAAUCUGUUUCCUUGCCUCGGAUGCAGAACUGGGAAGCGCAGAUGGAGUUCAACACAGAUGAAGAGGUUCAUUUCUGCAGGUCAAAUUUGAACAAGGAAUAUAAUAUUAAUGUACCACCAGACUCCAACGGAUUCUUCUAUCUUUGCUGGUCAGACACCCAGUUACGGGGAACGUAACACAACCAGUACACCUUUGGACUGUGGGAGGAGAUGGGAGCAUCCGGAGGAACCCACACGGACACAGGGAGAAUGUGCAAACCCAUUAAAGGCAGCGUCCUAUCUGAAACCCUGUACUGUUUGGACCCGGUACUGUAAAGCAUUGUCACCACUACGCUACCGUGCUGUCUUGUAAACCGGAGUACGGUCGAAUGACAAUUACACUUCAGGAUGAACUUGAGGAUCAUCGACUGUAGCCGCCAUCACUCGGAAAGGGGGGUACUUCCACUGUGUCUCUUUCUGCCCCUGAAUCACUCCGUUUGCUCACACUCACGUCCCAGUGGCGUUUUGUACCGGUCUGUAAAAUCGGAAAACAUUCUUCUAAACAACACGAAGAAUCUGGAGCUAAUUGUUCCAGUUGUUUUUCUAUGUAAAGAAUGAAUCUCUGUUGGAGCGUGUUUAAUGCACUGUUCACUUGCUGAGACAGGGGGUCCUGAAACAAAAUUAAUAUUAAGAUUCCGCCUCACCAGCACCCGAUCCAAUUGUAUUUCUAA